rnacentral:rRNA from 1 species
CCGGAGAAUGUUAUCACGGGAGACACACGGCGGGUGCUAACGUCCGUCGUGAAGAGGGAAACAACCCAGACCGCCAGCUAAGGUCCCAAAGUCAUGGUUAAGUGGGAAACGAUGUGGGAAGGCCCAGACAGCCAGGAUGUUGGCUUAGAAGCAGCCAUCAUUUAAAGAAAGCGUAAUAGCUCACUGGUCGAGUCGGCCUGCGCGGAAGAUGUAACGGGGCUAAACCAUGCACCGAAGCUGCGGCAGCGAACGUAUCACUUAAAGCGAUUCAGCGGGUUACGAUUGACGGAGCGAAGCGACGUCAAAGCGUAUACAAAGUCGAGUCGGUUUAAGGAUACGUUCGUUGGGUAGGGGAGCGUUCUGUAAGCCUGYGAAGGUGKSYYGUGAGGSWUGCUGGAGGUAUCAGAAGUGCGAAUGCUGACAUAAGUAACGAUAAAGCGGGUGAAAAGCCCGCUCGCCGGAAGACCAAGGGUUCCUGUCCAACGUUAAUCGGGGCAGGGUGAGUCGACCCCUAAGGCGAGGCCGAAAGGCGUAGUCGAUGGGAAACGGGUUAAUAUUCCCGUACUUGGUGUUACUGCGAAGGGGGGACGGAGAAGGCUAUGUUGGCCGGGCGACGGUUGUCCCG